GAAGAAGCAAUGGCGAUAGUUUGUGGACUAAUUUUAACAGAGUACAAACAUUGCAAAAAGAAAAGGCGUUGGUUAAAGGAAUGGAGACAUCGCGAGGAGGGGUUCUACUUGCUACACUGUGAUAUGGAGGUGCGGCGUGUGCAGAAAAUGCUGACGGCCCAGGUUUCCAAAGAUCACCUUGCCUUGUAAUUACCAGGGAGUCAUAGGAGCGCCGCCGAUGCUGUCACUCCGUAAUCACAACCCUAAGGCUGCCUACCUCAGUUCCGACCUUCCCACACACCUCUCCUUUUGACUGGCCGCAUAUGUUUUCUUCUCUCUAUCCAAGGUUUCCUUUCUGUUUCCUGGGGUUUAAAUCAAUUUCCGUUAAACAGAAAGUUUGGUCAAAUACUAUACAUAGAUAGAAAAUAUGAAAAGCAAGAGGUGAUUAGAUUUUAAGCAUAAAUAAUAAACCCCAGUUUUGGGAAGGACUGUCAUUUGUAAAAUACAUACUUGCUGAAUGUUUUGGACUAAAUUAGGAUAUUGUGCAGUCAUUUUAAUAGAUUACGUCCUGCAGACGUCUGCACAUUCAUAUUGAGCUCUCUGUUUAAAUGACUAAUGACCUCUCUAUUAUUGUUUGCAAAAUUAUGUACAUCUAAAUAAACGUAAACAAUUGAUUAAUAUAAAUCUACAGUAUUUUCUGAAUGAAGUUUUCAAGCUAAUAUGAGGAACACAUUGUUAUAGCUUGUCAAAUGUCAAAUUUAUUUUUGUAGUACAUUAAAAACAAAACAUACAGAAUAAAAGAACAUGUGAAAUACA